AGUUCUGUGGCAUAGCUUGUUAAUGCGCCGGUCUAGUGAAUACGGAGUUGUGGGCUCAAAUCCCACUAGAACGC
rnacentral:tRNA from 1 species